rnacentral:rRNA from 1 species
UACACGCUGUGACUAGCAUAUCAAUAAGCGGAGGAAAAGAAACUAACAAGGAUUCCCUCAGUAACGGCGAGUGAAGCGGGAAGAGCUCAAAUUUGAACUCUUGAAAGGUCACCUUUCACGAAUUGUAGUUUAAAGAAGUGUUUUCUGUUACGAUCGUAAUAUAAGUUCUUUGGAAUAGGACAUCACAGAGGGUGAGAAUCCCGUCUAUGAUUGCGAUUUGUAGCUUUGUGAUACACUUUCAAAGAGUCGGGUUGUUUGGGAAUGCAGCCCAAAACGGGAGGUAAAUUUCAUCUAAGGCUAAAUAUUGGCGAGAGACCGAUAGCGAACAAGUACCGUGAGGGAAAGAUGAAAAGAACUUUGAAAAGAGAGUUAAAUAGUACGUGAAAUUGUCAAAAGGGAAGCGUUUAACACCAGUGUUGUUUUCUGAAAAUCAACCUCUGUUAGCUUUAUGCAUGUUUGUUUAGACCUAAUCAGCUAUCUUGCAUGUUCUAUUGUUUGCAGUGGUGCACUUUUCAGUUUACAGGUCAACAUCAGUUUUUUUUACCGUAAAAAAGUUAAAGAAAGGUAGCUCAUGGCUCCGGUCGUGAGUGUUAUAGUCUUUUUCCUAUGCGGUAGGAGAGACUGAGGUCUGCAGUGUAGGCUAUUUGGCUAGAUACUCAGGUGCUAUGUGAUACCAUUUCAUAAACAACUUGUUGAUUAUGUUUUGUCUAUUGCAUACUCGCUUGUACUAUCAUACCUACGCUUAGGAUGUUGAGUAGCGACAUACGCAC